AGCGGCGGACGGGUGAGUAACACGUGGGUAACCUGCCCAAGAGACUGGGAUAACACCUGGAAACAGAUGCUAAUACCGGAUAACAACACUAGACGCAUGUCUAGAGUUUGAAAGAUGGUUCUGCUAUCACUCUUGGAUGGACCUGCGGUGCAUUAGCUAGUUGGUAAGGUAACGGCUUACCAAGGCAAUGAUGCAUAGCCGAGUUGAGAGACUGAUCGGCCACAUUGGGACUGAGACACGGCCCAAACUCCUACGGGAGGCAGCAGUAGGGAAUCUUCCACAAUGGACGAAAGUCUGAUGGAGCAACGCCGCGUGAGUGAAGAAGGGUUUCGGCUCGUAAAGCUCUGUUGGUAGUGAAGAAAGAUAGAGGUAGUAACUGGCCUUUAUUUGACGGUAAUUACUUAGAAAGUCACGGCUAACUACGUGCCAGCAGCCGCGGUAAUACGUAGGUGGCAAGCGUUGUCCGGAUUUAUUGGGCGUUAAGCGAGUGCAGGCGGUUCAAUAAGUCUGAUGCGAAAGCCUUCGGCUCAACCGGAGAAUUGCAUCAGAAACUGUUGAACUUGAGUGCAGAAGAGGAGAGUGGAACUCCAUGUGUAGCGGUGGAAUGCGUAGAUAUAUGGAAGAACACCAGUGGCGAAGGCGGCUCUCUGGUCUGCAACUGACGCUGAGGCUCGAAAGCAUGGGUAGCGAACAGGAUUAGAUACCCUGGUAGUCCAUGCCGUAAACGAUGAGUGCUAAGUGU
rnacentral:rRNA from 1 species